GAUGAAGAACGCAGCGAAAUGCGAUAAGUAAUGUGAAUUGCAGAAUUCAGUGAAUCAUCGAAUCUUUGAACGCACAUUGCGCCCUUUGGUAUUCCAAAGGGCAUGCCUGUUCGAGCGUCAUUUGUACCCUCAAGCUUUGCUUGGUGUUGGGCGUCUUGUCUCUAGCUUUGCUGGAGACUCGCCUUAAAGUAAUUGGCAGCCGGCCUACUGGUUUCGGAGCGCAGCACAAGUCGCACUCUCUAACAGCAAAGGUCUAGCAUCCAUUAAGCCUUUUUUUCAACUUUUGACCUCGGAUCAGGUAGGGAUACCCGCUGAACUUAAGCAUAUCAAUAAGCGGAGGA
rnacentral:misc_RNA from 1 species